rnacentral:tRNA from 1 species
GGAGGGUUGCGCCGAAUGGUAAGGCACUAGUCUUGAAAACUAGGGCUCCGAAAGGGGCUUGCAGGUUCGAGUCCUGCACCCUCCGCCA